rnacentral:rRNA from 1 species
CCUACGGGAGGCAGCAGUGGGGAAUAUUGCACAAUGGGGGGAACCCUGAUGCAGCAAUGCCGCGUGGGUGAAGAAGCACUCCGGUGCGUAAAGCCCUGUCAGCAGGGAAGAAAAUGACAGUACCUGGACAAGAAGCCCCGGCUAACUACGUGCCAGCAGCCGCGGUAAUACGUAGGGGGCAAGCGUUAUCCGGAUUUACUGGGUGUAAAGGGAGCGUAGACGGCAGCACAAGUCUGGAGUGAAAUCCCGGGGCUUAACCCCGGAACUGCUUUGGAAACUGUGCGGCUGGAGUGCAGGAGGGGUAAGCGGAAUUCCUAGUGUAGCGGUGAAAUGCGUAGAUAUUAGGAGGAACACCGGUGGCGAAGGCGGUUUACUGGACUGUAACUGACGUUGAGGCUCGAAAGUGUGGGGAGCAAACAGGAUUAGAUACCCGUGUAGUC